CGGGGCACCCCGCCCGGACAGCGCGCCGGCACCUUGGCUCUAGACUGCUUACUGCCCGGGCCGCCCUCAGUAACAGUCUCCAGUCAG
ensembl:miRNA MIR212 microRNA 212